GUUUAGGAAUGAAUACUUUAGUGUAUUCACUUUACACAGGCCUGUACCUGUUUGCUUCUUUACCCCUGCGAGGUUCCCCCUCCCUGGGGCUCCUGGGAACUCCUCAGAUGGGCUACCUGGUAAUUAUUCCAGCAUGAGCAUGGAGAGAAGGGGGGCAGGCAUCUGGUGGAUUGACUGCAGGGCAUGUGGAUCAGGCAAAAAGCCAGUGGAAUCAGGUGAGGUUGCUGCCGUGACCUCCUUCAGGUCGACCGUCCUACUCAGCAGAGACCAGACCUGCCCCUUGUCUUCCAGCCCUGUGUCUGGUGUGUUUUCUCAGCUCCUCAGUGGGACAAGAAAGGACCGAGCCUGCCAGAACCAAGACUCAUUCCAGCCUGGGCCACAACCCCUGCUGAGGUGCCUAGGAGGCUGCACUCUCAGGAUGGAGACUUGGAAUUGGGGACCCCAUCACCAGGACCCCUGGCGACUAGGUGAGUGUUACAAGGUCCUGAAGGCAGAGGGUGUGCCCCCAUCCUUUGGGUGCACGAGGGCGUGUGGUCCAGACUGAGCCAACCAGACAGUGCAGGUGUACUCGGGCUCUAAAUUAAGGGCCCCUCCGGUGCCACGCCCCCAUCCCAGUCAUGGGAACCAAGCCUGCUCAGGUUCCAGGGAAGGGUAGCAGCCCAAGCCAGGGAGGCUGGAAGGAAAGAAAUAGAUAUUGCUGUUAUUUCUUUUCAUUUUCUUGAAUCUCAUGCCAGUCCUAUGUUUGAGUAGAGUUGAUCUGCAGUUUGAGCUUGUCUUCAGUGUACAGAUGCUUGAUUCAGUUGUGACAUAUACAUGCAGCACAGCUCUUCUUUUUUGGGUUCUUAUUCCACAGAGGUGAUUGUAGAGGUAGAGAAAAAUUCCCUGUGCUGAACAUCAGAUCCUUGUGCCGUAUCUAUCAGAGAUACCAAUUUUGUGAGAAUGUCAAAGGAAGGAAAGAGGAAAUCCUUGUGGAUUAUUAUAGACAGACUUCUGUGUAUAGGCUGGAGUAAGGGCUUUCUGUGUAUUUGUUGGUUCCAAUCUCCUAAUUCGUCCUGACCCAGCACUGUUUUUUGUUUUCUUUAAUUCCUUGCUUGGGUUAAUUGAAUUGGUGAUGGACGGGAGGCCUGGCUUGCUGCAGUCCAUGGGGUCGCAAAGAGUUGGACACAACUGAGCGACUGAACUGAACUGGGUUAAUUCUCCUCAGAGGAUCCUUUUGUGUUGUAAAUUAGUUCUCUUUUUCUCUCUCUUUCUUUUUAUUCUGCCUCAAAGGUUCAUCAUCUGCGGUUUUGUGCAUCUGGCUGAUUUCGCUUAGGGUAUGAACCUCCAAAGUCCACCCUUCUGGGGACCAGUGGCAUAAUUUCAUCAUUUCAGUGGUGCUUUUUCGUGGCUGAGUGUGUACACACACACACACACACACACGUACAUAUACAGCGCAUCUUGUGUAAGCUCUCAGCUGUCGGUGGCAAUUCUAUGGUUCUGUGUCUUGGCUACUGUAAGUAGUGCUACUGUGAAUGCUGGGGUGCCUUUGUCUUUUUGAAGACUGGUUUCCUUGGGCUAAAGGCCCAGGUGUGAGAAUGUCAGAUCCUAGCUCUGGUCACUUGAGAGUUGUUCCCCCGCCCCAGCAUUCAGAGUGUCCUUUCGAGUGACUCUUGCCAAUGUCCAUUUCCACCGACUGUGUAGGGGGUUCCCACCCCUCCCAGCUCUCUCCUACAUGUAUUGCUAGUAGACGUUUGGUAAUGGCCAUUCUGAGCGGUAUGGUUUGACCUUGGUUGUCAUGUUUCUAUUUUCCUGUACUAUUUAAGGAUGCUGAGCUUCUUGUCCCAUGGCCAUUUGGUGUUAUUGUUUUUUUCUUUUUCAUUAAAGGGUACGAGGACAAUUUACCUGUUGCAGAUGGCUUCUUGAACGUUGGCUGUGUUUGGCAUUUGUGUUUGAAAUACCAGCCCCGGGGUGUUUCCUGCGGGCAGUUGUCAUUAAGAGCCCCCCAGGACUUGUGAGUCGGAGGUGUGAGUCAGCACUGGUAGUCAAGUUAUAGUUCCAGGAAAUGUGCACAGCGUGACAAUCCUUCUUCAGGCCCACCUCUCGUUCCCGGGGCUGUAAGAUCCUUGGGGGAGAUUGGAUUGCCAAGCUGUGAAUUUGAGUGGAAUGUGCCUGAGGAAACACUCAAGGGUUUGUGUCUCACUGCUUCUUCCCCCUGAAGCUUCACCACCACCCGCUCCGGGCCGCUCCCAACCUGAACCACAAGCCGUGCUGAGCGGGCCUAGGAGGCUGCACUCUCAGGAAGGAGGCUUGAACUGGGGACCCCAUCACCAGGACCCCUGGCGACUAGGUGAGUGUUACAAGGUCCUGAAGGCAGAGGGUGUGCCCCCAUCCUUUGGGUGCACGAGGGCGUGGUCCAGACUGAGCCAACCAGACAGUGCAGGUGUACUCGGGCUCUAAAUUAAGGGCCCCCUCUCCGGUGCCACGCCCCCAUCCCAGUCAUGGGAACCAAGCCUGCUCAGGUUCCAGGGAAGGGUAGCAGCCCAAGCCAGGGAGGCUGGAAGGAAAGAAAUAGAUAUUGCUGUUAUUUCUUUUCAUUUUCUUGAAUCUCCAAUUUUGUGCUUGUCAGCAUCCAGUCGCCUGAUUCCAUUAUGACAUGUCCAUACAGCAUCUCUCUUCUUUGGGGGGAUUCUUUGCCAUAGAGGUUAUUGCAGAAGGCUGAACCAUGUUCACCAUGAACAUGCUGAAACUCAUGUCCUGGGAUGCAACCCCGCUGAGUUGCCUAGGAGGCCGCCCUCUCAGGGUGGAGACUUGAACUGGGGACCCCAUCAGCAGGACCCCUGGCAACGAGGUGUGUUUUCUGAAGUCCUCAAAGUCAAAGGGUGUGCCCCCAUCCUUUGGUCACACGAGGGAGUGUGGUCACAGACUGAGCCAGCUGGACGGUGCAGGUGUGCUAGGGCUCUAAGCUAAGGGCCCCCCUCCCAGUAUCACGACCGCACCCCUGGUGGGGGCUUCCCUGGUAGCUCAGAUGUUAAUGAACCUGUCUGUAAUGUAGGAUACCAGGGUUCAAUAUGUUGGUUGGGAAGAACCCCUGGAGAAGGGAAUGGCUACUUAAUCCAUUAUUCAUGCCUAGAGAAUUCCAUGGAGAGAGGAGCCUGGCAGACUGCAGUCCUCAGAGUUGCAAAGAGUCUAACAAACACUUCUACUUUCAGAUUUCUAGCAUCAUGACCAAACACAGUCCAGCCAUGGGAACAAAGCCUCCUCAGGCUCCAGGGACGGGUUAGCAGCCCAAGUCAGGGAGGUCACAGGGAAUGAAAUAGAUAUUUCUUGUAUUUCUUUUUAUUUUCUCUCAUUUAGAUGCUAUGCUAGAUACAGUUGAUUUGCAGUUUUGUACUUUUCAUCAGUAUACGGCUGCUUGAAUCAGUUAUGACAUAUACACACAGGAUAUCUUUCCUUUUUGGAAUCUGUUUUCCAUACAGCUUAUUGCAGAAGGUCAUGAAAAGUUCCCCGUGCUGAACAUCAGAAUCUUCUGCAGUAUCUAUCAGAGAUACAGAUUUUAUGUGAAUGUGGAAGGAAGGAGGAAAUGAGAUUAUUCUUGUGGAUUAUCCAUACAUAUAUAGAUCUUGGUGUAUAUGUUGGAGUGAUGGAUUUGUUUGUAUAUGUUAGUCCCAACCUCCUGCAUAUCAUACUGGCCUUUUACUUUUUUUUUUAUAUAUAUAAUUCUUUGAUUUCUCAGCUCCUUUUAUCUCAUCUAAAUUUUUCCAGGAAUGUUCUUUAUCUGCUAGUUUCUUUCUUUGUCUAGCACAUUUCACUUGGCAUAUGAUCCUUCAAGGUCCAACCUUGUAGAGAAGAGUGGAAAGUAUCAUAAUUUCAGUAAUGCUUUUUAUGACUGAGUAAUAGUCCACUGUAUAUAUGUACCACAUCUUGUUUAAGCUUUAGCUGUGGGUGGAAAUUUUGUGGUUCCUGCCUUGCCUAUUGGAAGCUGUGCAACAGUGAACAGUGGGGUGCAUGUCUCUCUAUGAAUGGUGGUUUUCUUGGGAUUUAGAACUGCUCAUGUUGUACCUUGAAGCUUCCAGGCAUAUGCUCGCUUCGUGUACAAAUAUGAGGCCUCUGCUUAGAGGUUCAGCUCGCUUAUAACUAUGAGGUCUGUAGGUAGACUCUCAGCUCGUGGACAACAAUGAUGCUUUAUUCAGACUGUCAGCUCAUGUGUAAGUUUGAGGCCUCUAGGCACACCCUCAGAUCAUCUGUCCAAUGAGGCUUCUAGGCAGAAGUUCAGCUCGUGUAUUACUUUGAGGCCACUAGGCAUAUCCUCAGCUCGUGUAUAAAUACGAGGCCACAGAGAAGAUGCUAAGAUGGUGUAUAACUAUGAGGCCUCUCGGCAGAUGCUCAGCUUGUGUACAACUAUGAGGACUCAGGCUGGUGCUCAGCUCCUGUAUAACUAUGAGGCCUCUGUGAAGACGCUCAGCUGGUGUGUAACUAUGAGCCCCAAGGAAGAGCCUCAGCUGGUGUGUAACUGUGAGGCUUCCAGGCAGACACUCAGCUCUUUUGGGUCUAUGAGGCCUCUGUGCAGACACUCACUAGUAUCUGUCUAGAGGCUUCAAGACACAUAAUCAUGUAUAAAUAUGAUUUAUACAAUCAUAUUUAUUCAAUGCAGACACUCAGCUCGUGUACAAUUAUGAGGCCUCUAGGCAGACGCUCAGCUACUGAGGAUCUAUGAAGCCUAGAGCCUCUGUGCAGACGCUCAGCUUGUUUCUGUCUAGAGGCCUCAAGGAGUCGCUCAUCUCCUGUGUAAUUAUGAGGCCUCUACACAGAAGCUCGUCUCCUGUGUUCCUGUGAGGCCUCUAGGCAGACUCUUAGAUCCUGUGAGCCAAUGAGGCAGACGUUCAGCAUGUGCAUAACUAUCAGGUCUCUAGUAGAUGCUCAGCUUGUGUGUAACUAUGAGGACUCAGAUCAGACACUCAGCUCCUGUGUUUCUAUGAGGGCUCUAGGCUGAUGCUCAGCUCAGGUCUGUCUAGAGGCCUCAGACAGACUCCCACGUGUGAAUAAAAAGAGGCCUCUAGGCAGACGCUCUCAUGUGCCUGUCUGGAGCUUCAAGGAAGAUGCUCAGCUCCUAUAUAACUACGAGGCCUGAGGGCAGACUCUCAGCUGGUGUAUAACUCAGAGGCCUCUAGGGAGACGCUCAUCUUCUGUGUUCCUAUGAGGCCUCUAGACAGGUGUGCACCUCAUGUCUGUCAGGAGGCCUCAAGGCAGAUGCUCAGCUUCUGUGGGACCGUGAGGGUUCUAGGCAGAUGCUCAGCUCCUGUAUAAC
ensembl:lncRNA